rnacentral:rRNA from 1 species
UACGGAGGGAGCUAGCGUUGUUCGGAAUUACUGGGCGUAAAGCGCACGUAGGCGGCUUUGUAAGUUAGGGGUGAAAGCCCGGAGCUCAACUCCGGAAUUGCCUUUAAGACUGCAUCGCUUGAAUCCGGGAGAGGUGAGUGGAAUUCCGAGUGUAGAGGUGAAAUUCGUAGAUAUUCGGAAGAACACCAGUGGCGAAGGCGGCUCACUGGACCGGUAUUGACGCUGAGGUGCGAAAGCGUGAGGAGCAAACAGG